UGUCACCAUAUGUUCUUUCUAGUUAUGCUUGCAUUUCUAAUAUCUGGCAUGUUUGCUCUUCUUAGAUUGGUGUCAUGGUAAUACACAUGGUGAUGACAAGGUCCCUUAGUCCUGCCACCCAAGGCAGGGAUUUGAGCAGACUUGGAUGCUCGUGACAACCAUUCUCCAGGAUCGAAAUAUUGUCAAUGGGAAAUCAAAGGUGUUCCUUUGAGAAUCGAGAUCGGUCCAAAAGAUUUGUCAAAUAAGCAGAUAGGCUGGAACGAAUAUUUGCCUGUGGCAGCGAUGUCCUUUUCUUGAUCUGCAUGGUUAAGCUACCCUUGGACAUGGCUUCUUGCUCUUCCUACGGUAACAUGUGUUUUUUUUGUCCUGGCUUUGACAUUGGUGGCGGAUGUGGGCCGCUGCU